rnacentral:rRNA from 1 species
UUGACCUCGGAUCAGGUAGGAAUACCCGCUGAACUUAAGCAUAUCAAUAAGCGGAGGAAAAGAAACCAACAGGGAUUGCCCUAGUAACGGCGAGUGAAGCGGCAACAGCUCAAAUUUGAAAUCUGGCCUCGGCCCGAGUUGUAAUUUGCAGAGGAUGCUUCUGGCGCGGUGCCCUCCGAGUUCCCUGGAACGGGACGCCACAGAGGGUGAGAGCCCCGUAUGGUCGGACACCAAGCCUGUGUGAAGCUCCUUCGACGAGUCGAGUAGUUUGGGAAUGCUGCUCUAAAUGGGAGGUAAAUCUCUUCUAAAGCUAAAUACCGGCCAGAGACCGAUAGCGCACAAGUAGAGUGAUCGAAAGAUGAAAAGCACCUUGAAAAGGGGGUUAAAUAGUACGUGAAAUUGUUGAAAGGGAAGCACUUGUGACCAGACUUGGGCCGGGCGGCUCAUCAGGGGUUCUCCCCUGUGCACUCCGCCCGGCACAGGCCAGCAUCGGUCUUCGCGGGGGGACAAGACCGCCGGGAACGUAGCACCCUCCGGGGUGUGUUAUAGCCCGGCGGACGAUACCCCCGCGGGGACCGA